ACUCCUACGGGAGGCAGCAGUAGGGAAUCUUCCACAAUGGGCGCAAGCCUGAUGGAGCAACACCGCGUGAGCGAAGAAGGGUUUCGGCUCGUAAAGCUCUGUUGUUAAAGAAGAACACGUAUGAGAGUAACUGUUCAUACGUUGACGGUAUUUAACCAGAAAGUCACGGCUAACUACGUGCCAGCAGCCGCGGUAAUACGUAGGUGGCAAGCGUUAUCCGGAUUUAUUGGGCGUAAAGAGAGUGCAGGCGGUUUUCUAAGUCUGAUGUGAAAGCCUUCGGCUUAACCGGAGAAGUGCAUCGGAAACUGGAUAACUUGAGUGCAGAAGAGGGUAGUGGAACUCCAUGUGUAGCGGUGGAAUGCGUAGAUAUAUGGAAGAACACCAGUGGCGAAGGCGGCUACCUGGUCUGCAACUGACGCUGAGACUCGAAAGCAUGGGUAGCGAACAGGAUUAGAUACCCUGGUAGGAUAGCG
rnacentral:rRNA from 1 species